GAUGAACGCUGGCGGCGUGCCUAAUACAUGCAAGUCGAGCGAACGGACGAGAAGCUUGCUUCUCUGAUGUUAGCGGCGGACGGGUGAGUAACACGUGGAUAACCUACCUAUAAGACUGGGAUAACUUCGGGAAACCGGAGCUAAUACCGGAUAAUAUUUUGAACCGCAUGGUUCAAAAGUGAAAGACGGUCUUGCUGUCACUUAUAGGUGGAUCCGCGCUGCAUUAGCUAGUUGGUAAGGUAACGGCUUACCAAGGCAACGAUGCAUAGCCGACCUGAGAGGGUGAUCGGCCACACUGGAACUGAGACACGGUCCAGACUCCUACGGGAGGCAGCAGUAGGGAAUCUUCCGCAAUGGGCGAAAGCCUGACGGAGCAACGCCGCGUGAGUGAUGAAGGUCUUCGGAUCGUAAAACUCUGUUAUUAGGGAAGAACAUAAGUGUAAGUAACUGUGCACAUCUUGACGGUACCUAAUCAGAAAGCCACGGCUAACUACGUG
rnacentral:rRNA from 1 species